UUGUGUUUAUAGACAUGAUGUUGGAGAGUUAGAUAAUAUUCUCCCCUUUUUUAGUAAUUAUUUGAUAGAUUUUCACUAUUCUUCUUAUCUUAUUCAUAUUUCAUCACUUCAAUAAUUGUUUGUGCCUUUAAGGAGCACAGAGGGCUGCACAUACGAUGGUAAAGAAAGCAAAGAGAUUCCUGACAAAACCCAAAAAACAAAGAUACAGAGAUCCAUACAAGAAGUGGAAGGUGAUCAACUCAGCUGAAAUUCAAGUUGCUAGAUAUCCUACAAGAAACAUAUUGCAUUGGAGGAGAAUCACAAUUCAAGAAGUAUUGAAGUUGGUGGGGAGGAGUGGGUGGAGAUAAUUUCAGGUGACCAUAGGAUGGUGCAGCUUGUCUGAUACAUGAAUUUUUAUCUUAACUAGUAUCUGUGCCCCUAAUUUAUUCCAUAAGGUAU